UAACUAUUUCAUGUGUUUCCCGUGGCAACGCACGGGCAUAGACCUAGUAACGAGAGAAAACCCUAGUCGAGUUGUAUCUCAUGGUCCAGCCAUACCACCCCAGUUAUUCCCCACCCAACCGUACGUAGCCCAUUAAAAACCCAUUAUCCAAAUCCACACGUUCUUUACCCUAACCAUUUUCACUGCUCCAGAUCACAGCCGCCAUCGUUUCUUCGUCUCCCAUCUCUAUCUUCCGCGCAGAUGCGCAACCGCAACAGAGGUGAUGUGGGUGGAGCUCGCUGCGCCGCUCGACGCCGAGUUCCGUUUCGUGGGACAGCCCUUCGACGCGACCGUCUGGCAGACCCGAGCAGCAGCGUCGCGUAGUGGGGUGGGGAGUCUGGUCUGCUAGCCGCAUCGUCGCUCGGCGAGGUGCUGCUCAGGGGCACCGACGACGCAUCGAAGCUCGCGAGAGAGCGAGUCGAGGGGGUGUUCGAGAUGGAGCUGAGGAUCGCCAUGGAGGUUAGGUACUUCCCUGUGCACAUCGUUUGGAGCAGCAGGUUGGAGGCGACUUGCCGCUGAAGAUGCUCAUGCCGAACGCCCCACCCAGGAUGGAUGGGAGGCUAGCACGAGCCUUGAUCAUCCAAAUGGACGCAAAUAAUUUAUUAAGAUUCUCAUGGGAUUGCUCACAAGGAUAUUGGAUACUAAAUAAAGAGUGCAAGAGGAUGCUUGUUCGGCAUUUGCAACCCUUGAAGAGGUUACUGCCAUAUUUUAGUCACAUUGGAUGCUGGUACUCAACUAGCACAUAAAUAAAAUGUUUCUGCUGGAAAGUGCACUGCAGACAAGUCUAAGGAUACAGCCGGGUGGUGUUAUGGAUUCACGGCCUUAUUUCUUUCUGUGAGAUCUUUAGAAAUCUUUGAGAGAAUGGAAUGCAUAUGGGGCUUUUCUUCCCUGUUAAAUGGCAGUGGUUCUGUCAUAUCUUUCUACCAUCCACUAUUUAUGGACCCAUCUAUACACUAAACACACUUAAAGCAAGGUACUGUUUUAGGGCCUGUUUGUUUACCCCCCAGAUUAUAUAAUCUGGAUUAAAUAAUCCUAAGAGGCAAACAAACAGUCUAGCUUAUUUGCCCAGAUUAUAUAAUCUAACCUCUUGGAUUAUGAUAAUCCAUAAGCAAGUGAGGAGGUGCUUAUUUCAGAUUAUUUUUUUCCCACUUCCCCACUACCCUUUCAAGUUUCCUAGAAAUUACCCACCAUUGCCAUUAUAAUCUACCGAAUCGUUUUUGCGCCUAUCGGAUCGGAGAAGCCCGUCGCCCAACAGAAACACGCCAGAUAAUCUGGGUAAACAAACAUGACUACUCAGAUUAUAUAAUCCAAAUUAUAUAAUCCAGAUUAUAUAAUCCUCCAAAAAUAAUCCAGAUUAUAUAAUCCAUUGGGGUAAACAAACAGGCCCUUAGAAACAUCAGGUAUGUAUGCCAAACUUUAGUGUCCAUCAUUUCGUUUCUGACAGCUGAUACAAACUUAUAUUUUAGAUUGAUGGCUCUUGAUUGCUGUUUCUCAGGCACUGCAUUGGCGUACUGGUCAUAAAAAUGAUUGCCUCCAGAUAAUAAGUUCUGCUGCUUCAAAUUCAGUUCUGCCAGCUGUAGGAAUAGAAAUGGAAUUGAGGGUAUCCAUGGAGAUGCAUGUAGCUGAACUCAGUCAAGUUUCUAUCCAUUGUGUGUGUGUGCACUUAUUUGGCAUCGUGUUCUUCCUUUUUCAUGGGGUAAACAGGAAAACAUUGGGCUUUAAAAUUUUUGUAUGGCUCGAUUGUGGUACUAGAAAUGUAUAAUAAUUGUUCUAAAGAAAUGUUAGAGGAUAAAGAAGUAAGUUACUAAAGUUUUGGACUGUAUUCUUUCAUUUUCAUCUCACUUAUCCUAUUUCUUUCGGGAAUCAUAAAAGCAUAUGGAGGAACUAUGUAUAGGCUACAAAGAAGCAUAAGAAGCAUUUUUAUAGCAGAAGCCAAGUGUUCUGAUGAUUUUGUUUUUUCAAUUGUGUUUUCUGUUAUUGGUUCAACAUGCACAUAUAUUGACAUGAUUUAUGGCAUGGCAUCUGCCAUCUUUGUUAUAUUUAUGACAUCGUUCUUGAUUGAUGUGUGCGACAUGAAUGAUGGAUCUUUUUAACAUCCUGACCAUCAUUGUGUCGCUCAUUAUCGUAUUUUGUAUAUCAUUUAUGGGUUCACGGAUAUGAAAUGACAGGUUUCUUAUUUUUGA